UGUAAGAGAAAGACCAGUGAGGCCCAUUCUACGCCCCUGGCACAGUUGGUCCAUGUUAUGUUAUGUUAUGUAAGAGAAAGACCAGUGAGGCCCAUUCUACGCCCCUGGCACAGUUGGACCAUGUAGGGGGCUAUUGGUGACAAAUUCAUCCUUGAUGUGAUUAGCUGUGAUGUGAUGCAUUUCAUGUUAUCAUAUGUUUUAAAUGUUUUAUUAUUCUGCUCACUGGGCUCUUGUAGCUCACCCCUCUCCCUUAACCCCCAGGUUUGCAGGUACAGGGUAGACCAGGAGGUCAGCAAGAGUAAAGAAGUCUUGUGUAUGUAAUAGUUAGAAUGUGGACAUGACAAAUUGUAUAAUGAUGUAUAGAUAUGUAAUGUAACGAUGUUGAGGUUA
rnacentral:lncRNA from 1 species